AACCUGGUUGAUCUUGCCAGUAGUCAUAUGCUUGUCUUAAAGAUUAAGCCAUGCAAGUGAAAGUACACAUGUAUAAUAAUAUAUCGAAACUGCGAACGGCUCAUUAAAACAGUUAUAAUCUACUUGACAUUUAUAUUAUAAGGAUAACUACGGAAAAGCUGUAGCUAAUACUUGUAAAAAUAUCUUAUGAUAUGUAUAUAUAUAUAUAUGUAUGUAUCAUUAAGAUAUGUAUUUGUUAGAUGUAAGAAGUAAAUAAAAUAAAUAUAAAUUGAAUUAUAACAAAGAAAGAACACGUAUACGUACGUGAUUAUCAAUCGAGUAUCUGACCUAUCAGCUUUUGAUGUUAGGGUAUUGACCUAACAUGGCUAUGACGGGUAACGGGGAAUUAGAGUUCGAUUCCGGAGAGGGAGCCUGAGAAAUAGCUACCACAUCUAAGGAAGGCAGCAGGCGCGUAAAUUACCCAAUUCUGAAGAAGAGAGGUAGUGACAAGAAAUAACAAUACAUUAUCGAAGAAUGAUUUUGUAAUUGGAAUGAUAGGGAAUUAUAACAUUUCUAGAGAAACAAUUGGAGGGAAAGUCUGGUGCCAGCAGCCGCGGUAAUUCCAGCUCCAAUAGCAUAUAUUAAAAUUGUUGCAGUUAAAACGUUCGUAGUUGAAUAUUAAAGAAUCCGAUGUUUCAUUUAAACUGGUUUUGGGAAACUACAUAUAUAUAUUUAUAUAUAUAUUGUUUAAUAAGUUUCCCGUAUAAAAUUAUGUUUUUAUCAGAUAUGACAGAGUCUUUUUUAAAAUCUGUUCAUUUUGCUUUUAUUGCUUUUUGAGAGAUUUUGUUACUUUGAGUAAAAUUAAGUGUUCAUAACAGACGGCUAUACUUUGAUUGAGGUGUUCAGGGUGUUUGAAUACUACAGCAUGGAAUAACAAAUAUGAAUAAGCUAAUUUAAUUUUUUAUUAUUUUUUUUUGAUAUUCUUAUUAGCUUAGUUACGGUUAAUAGGAGUAGUUUUGGGGGCAUUCGUAUUCAGAUGUCAGAGGUGAAAUUCUAAGAUUUUCUGGAGACGAACUACUGCGAAAGCAUUUGCCUAAUCUAUUUCCAUUAAUCAAGAACGAAAGUUAAGGGAGUGAAGACGAUCAGAUACCGUCGUAAUCUUAACCAUAAACUAUACCGACUAGGUGUUGGAUGAAUAUAAAAAAUAUAUAUAAAAUUUUGAUAUUUCUUAGGGAUUAUUGAUUUUAUAUAUUAGAUUGCUUCCUUCAGUACCUUAUGAGAAAUCAAAGUCUUUGGGUUCUGGGGCGAGUAUUCGCGCAAGCGAGAAAGUUAAAAGAAUUGACGGAAGGGCACCACCAGGCGUGGAGCUUGCGGCUUAAUUUGACUCAACACGGGAAAACUCACUAGUUUAAGACAAGAGUAGGAUUGACAGAUUAAUAGCUCUUUCUUGAUUUCUUGGAUGGUGAUGCAUGGCCGUUUUUAGUUCGUGAAUAUGAUUUGUCUGGUUAAUUCCGAUAACGAACGAGAUCUUAACCUGCUAAUUAGCGGCAAGUACGCCAUAUUUUUAUUUGAAAUUGAUUUUAGGUAAAAUUAAUAAUAAUUAUUUUAGGUGUACAAAUUAGGAUAUUUUUAUUAAAAUAUCCUUUUCCCUGUUCUACUAAUAUUUUAUUUUUUUUUACUCUAUUUCUUUGUUCUUUUAAGAAUGUACUUGUUUGAUUGAAAAAGCUUCUUAGAGGAACAUUGUGUAUCUAACACAAGGAAGUUUAAGGCAACAACAGGUCUGUGAUGUCCUUAGAUAAACUAGGCUGCACGCGUGCUACAAUGAUAUAUAUAACAAGUUGUUAAAAAUAUACAUAUAUAUAUUUGUAUCUUGUGAUACUUAGUAAAUAAUUUUGUAUAUUUUUUCCUUUACUGAAAAGUAUAGGUAAUCCAAUCAAUAUAUAUCGUGAUGGGGAUAGAUUAUUGCAAUUAUUAAUCUUGAACGAGGAAUGCCUAGUAAGCAUGAUUCAUCAGAUUGUGCUGACUACGUCCCUGCCCUUUGUACACACCGCCCGUCGCUCCUACCGAUUGAAAGAUAUGAUGAAUUGUUUGGACAAGAAAAGUUGGAAUUAUAUUCCUUUUUUUCUGGAAAAACCGUAAAUCCUAUCUUUUAAAGGAAGGAGAAGUCGUAACAAGGUUUCCGUAGGUGAACCUGCGGAAGGAUCAUUA
rnacentral:rRNA from 1 species